AUUGAACGCUGGCGGCAGGCCUAACACAUGCAAGUCGAACGGUAACAGAAAGUAGCUUGCUACUUUGCUGACGAGUGGCGGACGGGUGAGUAAUGUCUGGGGAUCUGCCUGAUGGAGGGGGAUAACUACUGGAAACGGUAGCUAAUACCGCAUAAUGUCGCAAGACCAAAGCGGGGGACUUUCGGGCCUCGCACCAUCAGAUGAACCCAGAUGGGAUUAGCUAGUAGGUAAGGUAAUGGCUUACCUAGGCGACGAUCCCUAGCUGGUCUGAGAGGAUGACCAGCCACACUGGAACUGAGACACGGUCCAGACUCCUACGGGAGGCAGCAGUGGGGAAUAUUGCACAAUGGGCGCAAGCCUGAUGCAGCCAUGCCGCGUGUAUGAAGAAGGCCUUCGGGUUGUAAAGUACUUUCAGUCAGGAGGAAGGGUGUGAAAUUAAUGCUUUCAUGCAUUGACGUUACUGACAGAAGAAGCACCGGCUAACUCCGUGCCAGCAGCCGCCGUAA
rnacentral:rRNA from 1 species